rnacentral:lncRNA from 1 species
AUGAGUGACCCCAAAUGUGGCAUUUUUGGGGUCAGAUUUGUGAUUUUUGGGCAUUUUCCAAAACCCCUUUUUGGAACCUUUGUGGUCAGCCCCAAACUUGGCAUUUUUGGGGUUUUUUCCGCGUUUUCCGUGACCUUCAUCCUCAUCUUCCUCAAACCCAACCGGCCCAAACUGGGACCCUCCAGGAGACCCCAAAAUUGGGUCGGAUUUGCGAUUUUUGGGCGUUUUCCAAAAACCCUUUUUGGAACCUUUGUGGUCAACCCCAAACGUGGCAUUUUUGGGGUCAGAUUUGCGAUUUUUGGGUGUUUUCCAAAAACCCUUUUCGGAACCCUUGUGGGCGACCCCAAAUGUGACAUUUUUGGGUUUUUUUCUGGGUUUUCCGUGACCUUCAUCCUCAUCUUCCUCAAACCCAACUGGUCCAAACCGGGACUCUCCAGGAGACCCCAAAAUUGGGUCAAGUUUGCGAUUUUUGGGCAUUUUCGAAAACCCCUUUUGGGAACCCUCACGGGCGGCCCCAAAUGUGGCAUUUUUGGUGGCAUUUUUGAGGUUUUUUCUGCGUUUUCCAUGACCUUCAUCCUCCUCUUCCUCAAACCCAACUGGUCCAAACUGGGACCCCUCAGGAGACCCCAAACCCUCCUCAUCCUCCUCAUUUCCCCGCCCGGAACCUUCCGGAACGUCCCAGAAACGAUGGAGGAGCUGCGUCCCCUCCAAGCCUUCCUCAUCCUCAUCCUCCUCAUCGUCGUUGUUGUCCACCAACCAUGUCCAGUCCCGUCCUUGUGGUGGCCACGGGACCCCGUUGGUCAGUCCGGCCCCUCCGGGCGGCGGCGCCGGUUGGUAGCGGUGACACCACGGUCCGGCCAAGGCCGGUCCGCAGGUUGCGCUGACCGCAAAGUCCAACCGUCCGUUUCCGGCGAAACACGAACGUUCCACCACGCCGCCGUCGGUGGCGGUCAGCGCCUCUCGGCACGACCCCAACGCGUCGUCGUCCCAACCGUGGUCUUCAUCCCACACCUCCAUCUCCAACGCCGCGUCCGGCCGCAGCCGGACCUGUCCGAAGUCCAGGCGCUGACCCCAGCGCGGCCGCUCGGUGUUCCAGGCGGUGGCGGUGCGGGCGCGGCGGCCGGAGAAGGUGACCCAGACGUAGGCGUCGGUGGCGGUCAGCGCGUCGCCGCUCCAGCCGCGGCCGGAGCGCACCAGCACCCAAAGGUGGGCCAGGCCGCGGCCGGAGGGGCAGCACGGGGAGCCGGUCAGCGGCAGCGGCGUGGCCGAGCAGGCGCAGUGGCAGGGGUGGGGUGGGGGAGGUGGAACGGGCGGGUGGGCGGCGGGGAGGUCAUCGAGGUCAUCGAGGUCGUCGGGGUCAUUUGA